rnacentral:rRNA from 1 species
GGAAACCCUGGUGGAAGCCCGAAGCGAUUCUGACGUGCAAAUCGAUCGUCUGAUUUGGGUAUAGGGGCGAAAGACUAAUCGAACCAUCUAGUAGCUGGUUCCCUCCGAAGUUUCCCUCAGGAUAGCUGGAACCCGUGUGUGCAGUUUUAUCAGGUAAAGCGAAUGAUUAGAGGUCUUGGGGUUGAAACAACCUCAACCUAUUCUCAAACUUUAAAUAGGUAAGAAGUCCGACUUGCUUAAGUGAAGCCGGACGUUGAAUGCAGGGUUCCUAGUGGGCCAUUUUUGGUAAGCAGAACUGGCGAUGCGGGAUGAACCGAAAGCCGGGUUAAGGUGCCAAAGUCGACGCUCAUCAGACCCCACAAAAGGUGUUGGUUGAUCCAGANAGNAGGACGGNGGCCANAAAAGUCGGAA